rnacentral:rRNA from 1 species
AAAACUUUCAACAACGGAUCUCUUGGCUCUCGCAUCGAUGAAGAACGCAGCG